UCAGAAAUACAUUAGGCAUAUGAGAAAUCACAUAUAAUUGACAGACUAAGUAACUCAAGCAGUUGUAGCUUGUAGGGCAUCCUUAUGGACUGGAUGACAUUCGCUACCAAAGUGGGACUUGGGGUUUUACACUAUUUGUAUACACGUGCACCCUGCAAAAUCAGGAGAAGUAAAGCAAAACUCUUGGGCCUUUUUUCAGUUUGGUUGUAAGUUUUGAGUUUUGAAAAUUUGUGGCCCAGGAUUACCAUAUUUGUGGCCUAACCCUGGACUUACUGUCUAAAUGAGCAAGCACAAACAGAACUAUCAUUAGAUCCUUCUAAAGGUCCAGUUGAUGCGUUUUGUCUACUGAUCCUGGAGCCAAAUCAGUAACCGUUAAGAGCAUCAACAAAUGGAGAAAGAGGCAUUGGAGAGCACUGCAUUCCACUGGAAAGAAGAAAAAAUGCUGUGUCAUAAUGUGCACGUUAAGAGUAGAUUAUACCUUGAAAUCAUAGAACCUUGUGGAUUCUCCCUUAGUACUUCCAUUUGCUAUAAGCUUCACACUGUAGAUAGUAGACAUCAUACUCAACCACAGCGAAAACAAGGUGAUUAAGUUGGCCAUUUUCAAGUGGAGUGAAUAGAAGUGGAGGCUUGAGGUAGAAUGGACGGGAAGCCCUUUUAAAAGAGUGCGACUCUCUUUGGAGGAUUUUAUUUUAUUAGAGGAAAGCCUCAAAAAGUCUAUGCAGGAUCUAUUCUAUUUGUCAGCUUUCAUGAUUCCUCUAGCGUGAAGGGGUGAUAAUAAGGUGUUGGCUAGUGAUUGUUCAACAUGACCACAAUGGUAGGGAAGGCUUCAACAUACCCUUUUAUCCCACUUCUCUGUUUUUAUCUAUUUUCUUCUUUGCUGUCAAACAUUUUCUGUUACAAAUCAUACCAUUGACUGAGAAUAGAGGGCACACAUGCCUCUAAACAUGCUCUAUAUUAAACCCCACCACAAUCAGCCACCUCCCUUUCCAUUCUA